AAACUAACAAGGAUUCCCCUAGUAACUGCGAGUGAAGCGGGAAAAGCUCAAAUUUAAAAUCUGGUGGUCUUUGGCCAUCCGAGUUGUAAUCUAGAGAAGCAUUAUCCGUGCUGGACCGUGUAUAAGUCUCCUGGAAUGGAGCGUCAUAGAGGGUGAGAAUCCCGUCUUUGACACGGAUUACCAGUGCAUUGUGAUACGCUCUCAAAGAGUCGAGUUGUUUGGGAAUGCAGCUCUAAAUGGGUGGUAAGUUCCAUCUAAAGCUAAAUAUUGGCGAGAGACCGAUAGCGAACAAGUACCGUGAGGGAAAGAUGAAAAGAACUUUGGAAAGAGAGUUAAACAGUACGUGAAAUUGUUGAAAGGGAAACGCUUAAAGUCAGUCGCAUCGGCUAGGGAUCAACCUUGCUUYUGCUUGGUGCACUUCCUGGUUGAUGGGUCAGCAUCAAUUUUGACCAGUGGAAAAAGUUCAAGGGAAUGUGGCAUCUUCGGAUGUGUUAUAGCCUUUGUUCGCAUACAUUGGUUGGGAUUGAGGAAUUCAGCACGCCGCAAGGCCGGGUUUUCAACCACGUUCGUGCUUAGGAUGCUGGCAUAAUGGCUUUAAUCGACCCGUCUU
rnacentral:rRNA from 1 species